CCACAGGAAGGGCCCCUCCUCUGCCUGUCAGUUCUACCAACGGCCCCAGCAGCUGUGGCCCAGCCAAGGGGAAGCUGCAACUCUCAAAAACAAAAACCCCAAAGGAGGAACUUCCCUGGCUGCCCUGGAAGACCGCUGGCCUAAGUGUCUGGACAAGCAGCGGGGAGUCCUCCAGAGCUGCUGCUGUACUCACCCAGCUUCUGGGAGAAGAUCUUCUCAAAGGUCACCUCGCCCCGGUCCUCCAGCAGAUGAACAGAUAAAACGUGGUCCAUCCACACAACACUAAGAGGAAUGAAGUGCCGGUACAUGUUACAACACAGACGAAUCUCGACGGCAUUAUGCUACAGGAAAAGAGGACAGCCGUGAAAGGCCACAUACCGAAUGAUUCUGUGCACACACAAUGUCCAGACCAGGCAAAUCUACUGAGAUGGACAGCAGCUUCGUGGCUGCCAGGGGCUGGGGGAGGUGGAGGGAGUGACUGCCAGUGGGUACAGAGUGCCUGUCUGGGGUGAGUGUGAUGUCCUGGGAUUAGACUGGGGUGAGAGUUGAAUGUACUAAAAAACACUGAAAUGCACAUUUUAAAGUGAUGGAUCUUUUUGUUAUAUGAAUUGUAUCUCGAUUUAAAACAGUAAAAUAAAGAAGAUGGGAGGCGACUGGUUCCUUGACACACUAGUAAUGUGCUCUUCAAGAGAGGUCAGAUCCCACAUGGGGACCACUACUCAAUUCCUUGGCCCCGUCAGCCUGAAAUACACCAGGCGCAAGUGUGAGUGCCUGAGUUCUGAUGGGCUGCAGGACUGGUGGAGGGAGACCACUGUGUGACCAGGCCCUGUGGAAGGUGUAGUCUCUCUCUCAUAUACACUCUUGCAUGUAUGGACAUAUUUCCUAUUGCAAAUAAAGAAAAACUUUCUUUUUCAGUUUUGAUAAAGCAUAUGAACUUGAGAGACAGAGCGAGUUAGGGAAAUCACCUGCCAGGAGGGGUGACCACACGAUUCCCUCUCCUCUUGGAAUUUUGGGCAUGCGUAUAUGCCUGCCAUAUCUUUCAAGCCCCUAGGGUCCAGGACUUGAACCAUGAAGUUGGCUAUGUGGG